rnacentral:rRNA from 1 species
UACGUAGGGACCAAGCGUUGUUCGGAUUUACUGGGCGUAAAGGGCGCGUAGGCGGCGUGUUAAGUCAGCUGUGAAAUCUCCAAGCUUAACUUGGAACGGUCAGCUGAUACUGAUGUGCUGGAGUGCAGAAGGGGCAAUCGGAAUUCUUGGUGUAGCGGUGAAAUGCGUAGAUAUCAAGAGGAACACCUGAGGUGAAGACGGGUUGCUGGGCUGACACUGACGCUGAGGCGCGAAAGCUAGGGUAGCAAACGGG